CCACUCCACUCCCACAAACCAGGCAUCUCAUCAAACAAAAACUAAAACAACAAAAAUGAAAAUGAAGAAAAAUACAUGGAUUUUGAAAUUUAAAUGAAAAACACGAAACGUGUUGUUACGUCCUCACAUCUCGUCAACUGCUUACCCACCGCCGAGAUACCGACCGUCGAAUCUUAUUACCGACGGUUCAGUUAUCGACGCUUUGAGCCGGUUACCCAUAGAGGGGUUAUACCUGUUUACCCACCUCCGAGAUACCGACCGUCGAAUCCUACACAGUCCUGACAGUCCAGUUAUCAACGUGUGGAACAAGUUACCCGCGCUCUAGCGAAUUACCGAUCCGGUUGGAAAAAGUUAAGCUAAUAACAAUAAACAUGAAGAAAUAUUAUAAACGUAAGAUAAACAAGAAAUUAUAUUGUAAUGUUUUCCGAGCGCACAAUUUUACUGAAAAUGAUCACUAAUGGCACUGCAAAUGCCAAGAAAAAAAUGCUAAAUCACCUGAAACAAAUCGCACGAAGAUUUUGCGCUGACAAAAUGCACCGGACGGAAAUGCUUUCUGCUGAUGUUACAACCGGGUGCGAAUUCUAUAUAAAAACGCCCCGAUUUAAAUAAUAAAUAGUUCAUUCAUAAUCCUACCACCGUGGUGAAUUCAUCAUUUAUUGCGGAGCAGAAGAUUGCUUGCAUUAAAUCUCCUUAUCCUAAUUGAUUGGAGCAGAAGACUGCUCAAUCAAAGUCCUAGUCCAAUAAAGGAUUGGAGCAGAAGAUUGCUGAAUCUUAAGUACCAUCUCCAAACUACUCAGUCCUUCCCCCGCAAUUAUUUCAAUGCCGAAAAGGACCAGACGUGGGGGUAGAAAAUAUCAGCUGCGGAAGUUGGCGACGAAUUAUCAAAAUCCCCAAGAAAUGGAUUUAGACACGUUGUUGGGAAACAAUAACUCAGUGCCGACAGUGAUUAGAAGUGACACCCUCAGCAUUGCAGUCACUAGGGACUGCCAGGGAAAUUUAAAACUGGUCCAACGUCGUGAACCAGUAUCCGGACCCCAACAGGAGACACCAGGAACUGCACCACAUCCCCAGACGCAGGGAUAUUUUACCACUGAUUACGUGGCCAAUCAGCAGCAGACCCAAGUUCCUGUCAGCAAGGACCACGCUUCGUUUAAAAUCACUCCUUCGACGAAGAAUUUCCUGAGUAGGCUAAGAGAAAAACUCCGACAACUGAAAAAUUGAGGUAUAAGAAAAAAGACGGAAGGCAAAAACAUUUUAUAUCUUUAGAUGAAAAAAACUUUUAAAAUGAAAAGGCACACAAUAACAGAAAGAGAGAAAAACAUAGGCAAAAAAAAGAACACAUCGUUGAGAAUUUUUCCAACGGUCUUCCAUAGCCAGGGAAAAUUCAUUACUCAACAAGACUGAAAAACAGCAUUCAUCUAUAGCGCCAUCCAUCUCAGGGCCUCCCGCGUCCCUCACCGCCCAACCACCACCCACUUCCUGUAGAAGAAACAACAUUUUUCGGGGACCCUCACCCCAGGGGGCCCCCAGAGCGGCGACGUCCUCUUCAAAGGACAAAGGGAAACCUGUUCGGACACGUCUGGAAAAACGGGGGGAAUUCUUGGAAUAAAUUCCCCAAUCGUGCCCACUUACUACUGAUAUUACCAAAGAUAUGGACGAAAAACGGUGUGAUCCCAAAUCCGGGUCCUUUUUGCUCGAAGAGCCAGAGGAUCCCAGAGAAAUGCGAAAAACGAAAAAAUUGAUUUUAGAAUAGUCCUGGAGACCUCGAAAAAUCGGAAACCGUCCCACUAAUGGCACGCCACAUGUUCCGUAAUAAUGCCUUACCAACAGGCACGUUCAUCAUGGGAGUUCGGGUGCCACCGCUACACCAAUUUUGCCAUUGAAGCCACUUCAGAAGCAUCUACAAUCUCCUCUAUAGCUACUGUUUUCAUGGUUAUCGCGAAUGAAAACUACCUUUACGUUCAAACUCCUAUCGGUUUGAUUACAAGAAGCAAGGUAGGCUUGGCGAUACAGUUGACAACUAUCCCUGUAAUUGAGAUGAAGAAAUGAAACCAGCGUCAUUCGUUGCUCAUUAAAUCUUCGAUGAAUUGUGAUGGUUUCAUGUCUUCGUGUCAAUUAAAGGAGGAGAAAUCAUUUUUUGAAUCAGGGGGGUGGGGUUUAUUGGAUAUUCUCGCUCGACGCCGUCGAGAACUGAUACGCAUCAUGCUGCAUUUUUGCUGUGUUUAAAGUUAUUGCAACAGACCGCUGCACCAUGUAGUCUUUGCAUGUUUCAUUCGCUGCUAUUUCUUAUUGAUCGUUUGACAGUCUCGCAAUUGGGUUUGUACAAUUAUUCAAUUUUUAAUCAUUGCAAAGAAUAAUCAAAUGAAGAUCAUUUAUUCCAAUUCUCCUAUUUCACCGUCCUUUUUAUCCAUUCAUAUUUAUGAAAUCUAAUUUAUAUUCAUGAAAUAAAAAUGGGAAAAAUAAAAAGUGGACACCUGAGAGAAUCGCAAAUGCUUGUUCAAUAGCCAAUUCUCUUAUUGUGUGACACAUACUGCGAUCUCUUAGUCCCAACCGGAAGCUUUAGCUGAUAUCGAUUGUAGUCAACACGGAAUUAAUCUCUACCUUGUCCACGCUGUUUAACCGACCCUGCACAGUGGUGCGCUCACCAUCCUGAUAAUUCUGUGUACAGUCGACCGUCUGUACAGUUGUGCAAGCUCGAACGGAGCCCCCCCAUUUACUGGUUGAUCUCUCGUGAUUGGCCUUGCAUAUCUCCCCUAUGAUCUCUGUUCUUUGGCUCAAACUGAAUAAACCCCCCCCCCCGAUUCGCCAUAUCAUGUGACUCAAUCAAAGAGAUCUCACAUGUGGCUGUUAGAAGGGGAUAGAAAAUACCUGAGUCUCUCAGAGAAAAGUAAACUGUCUCUGGAACGCGUUUAUGACACAAACGGCUUAUACAAAGAUCAAAUUUCAAGUGACAUUCAAUAAAAAAAACUCUACAAAGGUCUUUUGGUUUGGAUAGCUAGAACCACAUAGAAUGAUUUUAUGAUUUAUGGGUCGUUUCCAGGUAAUUUCCAAAUUUCGACUAACAUUUUAAAAUUCCACAUUUUACUCUCUUUAAUAUUUCGACUGCGUCAACGAAGCUAAUACUUAAAGAGAUUCAAAGAAAUGAAUGAAAAAAAAUAUAUGCGUGAAAUUUAUGCAUGACAGAAGUGAAACUUCUUAGUCAUAGACUGUUCAAAAGUGUUGUCUGCAUUUUUUGUGAUUAUUUUUUUCAUUCCAAUUUCAACCAAUCAAAUGGUGGCAUUUCCCCUCACGUGGUACAAGUAAAACGGUUUUACUUCGGAUAUUUUUCGAAUAUUUCCCUGUUGGUUGCUCAGCAAUGAAAAUAUCCGAUAAACACUUUUUAUGCGUUUCAAACCUCAAAACUGUGUUGUAUACCCCAGUAUUUUAAUCUUUUCCAUAGAAUAAUUUCAUUAUACUUUCUUCCUACAUAUAUUUUACUAUGUUUUUUGUAGGUACGCUAUUCAAAUAUUGUCCGUAGUUUAAUAACCUCCGAACCGUCCAUCGUGGGUCUCACCCCAAUAAACCCAUUCCAGCAGUUCCUAAUGUAUUUCCCCAUAUCAAGAGAAUCCUAGAAAACCUUCCCUAAUUAAAAGAACCCUAGCGUACAUCCCCUAUUAAGAUAAUCCCAGGGAAAAACCCCAAAUUGAGAAUCGUCCUAGCGAACCUUUGCCUCCACAACCAAAUACUAUCUCCACUCCACUUUUCCUAAUUUCCUCAGGUGAAUAAAACCGAGGAGUUCCUUUGAUUUAAGUUAGUUCUAAUUUUCGGACUGUAGCCGAAUACUUCAGAAACGACGUUACAUUCAGAGUAACACGUACCAUUAGCUCCGUGAAUAAAUAUCAGUUUUUACCCUUAAAAUCUGUGUACGUAAUUUAUUCUCCGGGAAUCCAACAACUGUCAUUAGAAAAAAUCAAGUUCAAAGACUUUACCUCGACAUGAGCAGAUUUGGAGAAGAAUCGUUGGAUAUUAUUGAUCGAAAAAUUAAAAAGAAUGUUCCCAUUAAUACAGUGAAGAGAAAAGCCACAAUUUGGAAAUAAUUCUCUGCAUUUUGGGCAGACAGAAAAUAUACGCUGGAGAAGCCACAACUACGAGUGAAAAACCAUACUAUAUGACGUGAAAUGCCACACAUUUAAUUGUGUGAAAUUGGAAUGAAAAAAAUAAUCCAGCCAAAUACCCCUCGACCUUCAAAAUUAAUCGGAUAUUUCCCGAGAGUUUCGUUGCGUAGCAACGAGAGGGAUAAGUUUUGCAGGUUUUUCUGCGAAUCUUAUCCCGAUCGGUGCUACGUAGGGAAACUGGAGGCUGAUCUGCUGAUGCUUUCGUCUUGAUUGUAUUAACGGGGACAGUUCCAUGUAUUGCCUUAUCAAUAUUUGCCAGAAAACUACUUCCGAAUCGACUCAUUUUUGAUACAAUUGUGUAAAAUCUCCACAAUAAAAUUCAAUCUGUCAGUUUGACAAGGGGUUUAUUUCGUUAAGUUAUCGUUUGUUUUUUUAUAUAUAGCCUACCCGCAGAAUUAUCAAAAAAUUAUUAUCAGUGUUUUGAACUCCAACAAAAGACUUGUUAUGUGCGGAGGCCGACACACGGCAUCCUUAUGAGAGAAGCUAUUGAAGAUUCGGCCUAAAGACCCUG